UCACUUUCGGGGAAGGAUGAGAAGCUUCGACCAAGGUUCGACUUGAGCGCCAGCGAGAGAGCGUUGCCGCAGGCAACGACCCGAAGGGCGAAGCGCGCAGCGCUGAGUAAUCCUUCCCCCACCACCA
rnacentral:sRNA from 1 species